UAUGAGGAUGGCAUCGCUAGUGUUGCUCUCAAAGCUUGACCUGCAGGGGAUGACACCGUGAAAUAGUGGAUAGCUCAGUGUCUCUUGAAAGGUGACGAAUUGCUGCGUUUCUACAAAGCAGCUUUUGAGAGUACGGAGUUUUUGAAGCCCAAACCGCCCGGUACCUAUUCGGGACACAUUACGUGAAGACGUUCAUUUGCACAAGGACAGAAUUUCGGUAUUGGAGAGAAAAUAGAUCGGUGGCUGUUUCAAGUGUCGACGGCUCUUCUGUCAUGGGGCUGCACUCGCCGGUUGACGGCUCGGGAGACAGGGUUGGAGAGUGCCUGUCCCGAGCGGUCAUGGCCCCACAUCUCAACCAACAGAUCCAAGUUCCGUCGCUUCUUUGACGAUUCGGGUGCUGACAUGUCUCCCCAUGUUUCCGCCAUGAAGGUCCGGCUUUGGUCCACCCACGCCGGUAAUCGGGCUUUGCUGCAGCCGAUAAAUCAUCUUCACCGUCGUCCAUACCGCUGGCAUCGCGAGCAUUGGAGGACAUGUCGGAGUUGCUAUCGGCCAACAAUUCGUGCAAAAUGUGAUUGCUCGUUUAUUAGCUGUGUGAAACAUUACAUGUCAGGUAUAAGAAGCCAGCAUUAAAAAGUUUGGCUUCCAUCUGGUUGGAGCCCUGCAUCUAAGACAAAUGUCAAAAUCGCCUUGAAAGUAUGGAAAUAGAUCCCUGAACCAGAACGUGUCAGAGUCAGUAAACAAAACUUCACGUCCCUGCUUCAGAAGAGAGAGAAAAUACACCUAGCGCCAGUUCGUGUAGCCGUAGUACUGACUACGAUUAUGGGUCGAGGGCUCCAUAUCCCCGAGUUCUUCUAAGAAAGUCUUCUGAACAUGGAUAGCUGAGUCGUCUCUUGCUAAAUUACGUAACAUAUCAUAAACUUUGGAAUCUUCUGCAAUGACUGUGGUGUUGAUGCAAACUCCAACUUUUUGAUACUCCAUCAUAUGAAGCAGGAUAUUCAUAAAAUCAAAGUUUACUCCGGUCACCAUUACUGUACCGCUUUCAUGCUUUAUUUCAGUUGGACAGUUUUCCACAGACCAAUUACUGGCAUCUUGUUAUCCUUGGUCUGGGAGGCAGAUGUUUUGUUGAUCACUCCGAUCCUGUUUGAUUUGCAUUCACAUGGCUUCUUGUUAGGUUUAAAUGCAACAGGAGAAAUAUGAUUGUAAUCUGGAAAACAAAAGCCACGACAUUGUAACUUCGGGGGAGUCAUUGUCAAAAUGUGAAGUCAUGGGAAUGAACGGUUCAAGUCUUAAACACAAAAUAAAUAAUUGAUUUGGGACUAAUUACAUCCAUUUGGCUUUUCCGCUUUUUGCGAAAAAGGUGUUCUUUAGCCUUUCCAGCGUUUCAGCGAAACAGUUUUUGUUUUUCGUAAGAUUUUUUUU